rnacentral:rRNA from 1 species
UACGGGGGGGGCUAGCGUUGUUCGGAAUUACUGGGCGUAAAGGGCGCGUAGGCGGCCUACUAAGUCGGACGUGAAAUCCCUCAGCUUAACUGGGGAACUGCGUCCGAUACUGGAUGGCUUGAGUUUGGGAGAGGGAUGCGGAAUUCCAGGUGUAGCGGUGAAAUGCGUAGACAUCUGGAGGAACACCGGUGGCGAAGGCGGCAUCCUGGACCAACACUGACACUGAGGAGCGAAAGCCAGGGGAGCAAACGGG